rnacentral:tRNA from 1 species
GCAGUGGUGGUUAAGUGGCAGAAUUUUCAACUUCUGUGUGAGAGACCUGGGUUCAGUUCCCAGCCAAUGCA